AAAUCAGAGAAGGACAAGAGACACAUGUGCAGUUGGGCUCUACCACCCUCCAAUCUUCCCCCAUGCAAAUGUUCCAGAUGAUGGCCAGGGGCUCGAACCUGGGCCCUUGUGCAUGGUAAAGCACACACUCUACCUGGUAAGGGACCAUGUAGUAACCAACCCAGUAAGUGCUACUUCUGCUUAUUAGCUUUGUGACCUACGCAUUGCCCUUGACCUCCCGGGGCCUCUUUAAAAUGGAAGCAGACUCUUAGGUUCCCAGUGUGACCUGUACAAGACAGUGCUAUUCUAAACCAGAAGUAUUUUGGGUUGGAGACCCAGUCUGUCAGAUGGGUGCUCUCCAUACUGGAGUGUCUUAUGGUGGAACUACAAGUCUGGCAUGAGACUAAAAACCUGCCUCUUUGUUGGGUCCUGAAAAAGGGGAUUGUAAACCCUGGUGAUGAUUCAGAGAAGACUACAGUCAACUAGGAAGACUUGCUAGCCUCACAGACAAAUAUUGGACAAAAUAAGUUUAAGUUCCUUUUUUUUUUUCUGUUCAUUCUGGAAAAAAACAAAACCAAAACUUAUCACUUGGAAAUUAUUGCUGCAGGCAGAAACAAUGGCAAACUGGGCCUCUGGAAUGCCAUUGAAAAAUUAAACUAAAAAGCAUGAGGUCCCAUGGGAACAUCACCAGUGCCAGAGUGGUGCUCUUGGUUCUCCACUUUCCCUUUUUCUCUGUAUCUAGUUUUGAUAAGUAAAAAUUGUAACAUUGUAUUUUAAAGCAAUAUAAAGAACCAAUUUUAGAGAAUCUUAGAAUAAAAUCUUAACUUUGUUUUUUACUGUUCAAAUUGAUUUGUAUCCUUUAUUUAAACUUUUCUAAAUAGAGAGGAAGAUAUAUAUAAAAACAAAAUCAGCAUUUGAUCUGAAGUCUGAGCCCAGACUUGGCAUUUUUGCUCUGAGUGAGCAAGCAUCUGUGUGUCAGGGCAAGGGCUGAAUAAAAGAGUAACAGUUGAAGGCCUUGGGGUGUUGACUGUGAACGCCUGUUUGCCACUUUGCAAAGUUGGCUUAGGGGAGUCAGCUGGUGUAGGAAAACCUUUAAGAGUCAUAUGGCAGGUUUUCAAAGACCCUGCAGAGCAGCCAGGUGGACAGUUUGACUGGCCUCUGCCCCAUCUAAUGACCUCUGGCAAAGGCAACUGAGCAGCUGGGAGGUAUCUGCUGAAGGCAAUGCUAUGGAGGUAUGAAGCAGUGUGCUCUCAUCUCCCGGUAAUCUAAAGCUGCCAGUAACAUUCCCUGCCAGUGCACAGCUGAAGCGGAAACAAUUUGAAUUAUGACCUGUUGUGCUGCAAAGGGUCUUGGCUCUUCCCAUACAAUCCCUUUGAUUUCCAGUUGAGGAACCAAAUUCAGAGGUGGGCAGUGGCCUGCUUAAGGCAAUAUGUAGCUAAUGAAGCUGAGAGUCAGGAAUCAUGAUGAGAUACAAAGAGAAAGAGGAAGAAAACAUUUGCUUUUGUCUAACUGUACAGCAUCUCUAACCCUUGUGUUAUCAACUUGUACCUCUUUUACAUAAUAGUUAAUAUAGCAGUAAAGGGAAAUAAGAGAAAUUUGAGUGAAAUUGUGCUGCCAUAUUGGGGGCUUGUAUUAACACACACACAAAUUAUGUUUUUUUUAAAAAAAAAUUUAUGUUUUUUGUUUUUAUUGUUGGUGUUCAGGGUUCCAGGCUAACUUUUCCACAGAGAAAGAGGCAGAGAGAAGGGUGGGGAGAAGGACAAAAAGAAAGAAGAAGAGAGACAGAGCAAGACUCCAUAUCACCAAUAUAUCCUUCAGUGAGUGCAAUGGCUCAAAGCUGACAUGUAUUAUUUUAUAAGCCUGCUCAAUUCUUCUGAGAAUGGAACCAGUUGCUCAAGCUUGCAAGUCUAGUGCUCUAAUAAACUAUCUCCUUUGCCCAAAUUCAUGUUUGUUUUCAAAAGAUACCUUUAUUUUAGACAUUAGAGAAAUCUUUCUUUCAUGUUGAGGCUUUACAGACAGGCUGGCCUUUUGCUACCCAUAGAGAUUCUUUCUUGUUGCUGGUGCCACUGUCAGAAGCCAUUUCUUCAGAAAUAAUUAGAGGCAGCAUGCCUCUGUGAUCAUACUAUGUGAGUUUGCUAAGUGGGAGAAAGUAGCAGCCCUUAGUGAGUUCCCAAUCACUGGGUUCUGAGCAGGCCACUGGCUCCACUGUGCUUUAGAACCAGGACUUCACCCAGGUCAAACUACUUGGGACCAAGCAUCUUCAGAGCUCAUGUUGUAAGCAAUAGCAGGACUAGUAAGUUGGACUAAAUGAGAACAGUAGAAAGAAGAAAACAAACGUGUCUGAAAGAUGCACCUAGACUUUAUUAUGUAGUUUCCCUGGGCCUCUACAUGGAUGUAUCUUUUUGGUUCCUUGCAAUUCCUUGCAAUUUCUAGGUUC